AUCCAGAUGACGAGUCUCAAAUAAGAUAAGACGCGCGUCCUGGAC
rnacentral:hammerhead_ribozyme from 1 species